rnacentral:lncRNA from 1 species
CAUCACUUGAAAAAAAUGGGUAGAUACAUUCUCUGUUGCCCUGGAGGCAGAGUUAUUGGAAGGCGCAAGGAAGCAGAUUUCAGUUUAAGAUGGGAAAGAACUUUCCUAUUAGUUCACUGCUAAAAUUGCUGCCUUGCGAAGAAAUGAACUUCUGAUCCCUGGAAUUGUUCUAACAGCUGUUUUAAAAUGUAGGUUUUAUUAUUAUUCAGGUAUGGUGAGCCGACAGAUCAAGAGAUGAUUGCCGUUGAAAAAGAUAAUUUCUUACAGUUCCCAAGAGAAGAGGGUACACCACGCCACACAGGGACACACAGGUGAAAAGGUGAAUUGAAAAAAGCACAAGGAAGAGCAGUAAAGUGACCCAGAGACAGUGGGCCAUUGGACACAUGGGCCUGUCAAUCUGAAAGUCAAGGCUGAGGAAGAAUAUUAUCCAAAUCUGUAAAAUCAUGGGAGACAUUCCAAGCAGAGGAGACGAUGUGCACAGGUGCUGGGCCUGGUCAGGGGACAGUGAGCCGUGAGAGAACAUUCUCAAUUAAUGAAGAGCUUUUAAAAAGGAAAAAGCCUUGGUGACUCACGAUGAACUCCUGUCUUCCUCGUUUGUAGUGUGUCCUACCUUCUCUAACGACUGUCAGAGUGAAGGCUGGACUUUGAGCUCGCUCUUUUAGUGCUGAGGGUAUCGGGGAAGGGUAUCAUUAUUCUUAGAUGCAACAUCAGAG